CUAAUGCUUUUAUCAAUUGGAGCUUUGUAAAAAGUGACAAUGUACCUUUUGUAUAAUGGACCAGUAAGUUUAUUUAUAUAGCAAGUUUAAAUUAUGAAAUGUAGACUUAGUGAAAGCGAAUUUGAAUAGAAUUAAAGAGUUAUAUAGAUAAGACCCGAAACCAGGUGAUCUAAUUAUGAACAAGUUGAAAAAAUAUUAAGUUAUUUUUGAGGACUGAACUCGUGCCUGUUGCAUAAGGCUGGGAUGAUUUGUGAUUAGGGGUGAAAGGCUAAUCAAACUUGGUGAUAGCUGGUUUUCUGUGAAAUCUAUUUACGUAAAGUGUUAAAAUUAUUUUUUUGGGGUAGAGAUAUCGAUAAAAGAGGGUUGCCCAUAAAGCUUUACCGAUUUUAAGGAAACUUCGAAUACAAAAAAAUAUUUUAAUAAUCGGACUCAUAAUGCUAAGGUUGUGGGUCGAGAGGGAAACAGCCCAGAUUGUUUAUUAAGGUCUUUAAAUUUUUUAUUUCUCAUAAGAAAAGAGUUUUUAAAUUGGAAUAACUAAGAGUUAGGUUCAGAAGCAGCCAUUCUUUAAAGAAAGCGUAAAAGCUCAUUAGUUUAGUUUAAAGAUUCCAACGAUGUAUAGAGAUUGUAAGAAAUAUACCGAAAUAGCAAAUUUUAAUUUUAUGUUAAAAUGGUAACAGAACGUUCUGUAUGCUAAAAGAUAAAUUGUAAAAUUUAUUAAUGUAUCAGAAGUGAUAAUACUGGUAUGAGUAGUAUAAAUAAUAUAAAAUAGGUAAUUAAAUAUUAUCGUCGAAAAUUCAAGGUUUUUAAUAUAUAAUUGUUAAACAUUAUUAAGUAAUACGGCCUCUAAGAAUAAAGCGAAAACUGUAUUCGAUGAGUUUAGAUUUAAAUAAACUUUAAAUAUUUUUUAAAUACAAAAAAAUAUUUGAAUUAAAAAAAAAUUUAUGUAAAACCGUACUAAAACCAACACAGGUGAAUAAGUAGAGUAUACUAAGACGAUAAAGAGAAUCAUAGUGAAGGAACUCGGCAAAUUAACCUUGUAACUUCGGGAUAAAAGGUUUUUAUUAAAGUAUUUUUUUAAUAAAAUAAUAUGAAAGAGGGUAGCGACUGUUUAAUAAAAACACAGGACUUUGCUAAAUCGUAAGAUGAUGUAUAAGGUCUGACACCUGCCAGGAACUGUGUAGCUAAAUUUAAAGAUAAAUAUUUUUAAUAUAAGCAGCAGUAAUCGGCGGCCAUAACUCUGAUGGUCCUAAGGUAGCGAAAUUCCUUGUCAACUAAUUAUUGACGUGCAUGAAUGGUGUAACGACUUCCCUACUGUCUCCACUAUGAACUUUGUGAAAUUGAAAUAUUCGUGAAGAUGCGAAUUAUAUAUGGUUAGACGGAAAGACCCCAUGCACCUUUACUACAAUUUUUUAUUGAUUAUUUUUAUAAAAUUGUGUAGAAUAGGUGGGAGUUUAAAUUUAGUUUUAAACAACAAUGAAAUACCACCCGUUUUAUUAUUAAUAACUAACUUUAUAAAUUAAAAAUAUAAAGGACAUUUAUAAGAUUGGUAGUUUAACUGGGGUGGUUUUCUCCUAAAAGGUAACGGAGAAAUAUAAAGGUAAAUUAAUAAUUAUUAUUGUAAUAAUUAUUUAUGUAUAAUGGCUUAAAUUUGCUUGACUGUAAGAUUGACAAAUCAAACAGAAACGAAAGUUGAUCAUAAUGACCCGGUAAUUCUUUAUGGAAAGGUUAUCGAUCAAUGGAUAAAAGGUACGCUGGGGAUAACAGGCUGAUAAUUCUCUAGAGCU
rnacentral:rRNA from 1 species